UUAUGAAUUAAAAGAAGCACAAAUAAGCGUCAAUUAAAAUAUGUUUAGAAGAAAAGAAGUGGCAUAGGCGGUUUUAGAACAAAAUCAAAAUUCAAUAAAAGCGAUAUUACAAAGGCCUUGUGGGCUCAAUGAAACGCCCCUCCAACAAGCUCUGACCGAAAUCUGAUGGAAAAGGUAGUGGAACUUUAUGGAUUAAGAAAAACUAGCCAUGCACCGGAUGUGUGACGAGGAAACACACGGAAAUUUAUGGUUGAGUUAAAAAAAUACACUUUAUAACAAUUUAAGUGAGCAAGAGGCCAAAGACUUGAUUCUGAACGAAAUUCAAACGGGUGUGGUUAAGAGCGAGCCAAUCACCGCGUCAGCUGUGUUGACG
rnacentral:misc_RNA from 1 species